UCCGGGGGGGGCAAGCGUUGUUCGGAAUUACUGGGCGUAAAGGGCGCGUAGGCGGUCUGCUAAGUUGGGUGUGAAAACUCUGGGCUUAACCCAGAGCCUGCAUUCAAAACUGACAGGCUAGAGUUCUGGAGGGGAUAGCGGAAUUCCUGGUGUAGCGGUGAAAUGCGUAGAUAUCAGGAGGAACACCGGUGGCGAAGGCGGCUAUCUGGACAGAGUCUGACGCUGAGGCGCGAAAGCUAGGGGAGCAAACGGG
rnacentral:rRNA from 1 species